AAAGGCUUUCCUCAUGUCUGGUGAUCAUCUCAUCACUGCAUCAUGUGGCUUACUGAGCUUGGGUUUCACUGAAGAAUGAUCUGGCUGGACUGCUUAUUUGGGGUAGCCCUGAAGCCAGAAUCUUCAGAUCUUUUCUUUUGUGUCAGUUAUGUUCCUCAGAAAUGGUUUUUCAUUCUCCUGCCUGGCAGCGCUGUUCAUAAGAUGAUUGUGGACAGGCAGUAUAUGGGCGUGUCUAAGCGGAAGUGCAUCGUGUGGGGUGUCGCCUUCUUGUCCGAUGGCACUAUCAUAAGUGUGGACUCUGCUGGGAAGGUGCAGUUCUGGGACUCAGCCACUGGGACGCUUGUGAAGAGCCAUCUCAUCGCUAAUGCUGACGUGCAGUCCAUUGCUGUAGCUGACCAAGAAGACAGUUUCGUGGUGGGCACAGCCGAGGGAACAGUCUUCCAUUUUCAGCUGGUCCCUGUGACAUCUAACAGCAGUGAGAAGCAGUGGGUGCGGACAAAACCGUUCCAGCAUCACACUCAUGACGUGCGCACUGUGGCCCACAGCCCAACAGCGCUGAUAUCUGGAG
rnacentral:misc_RNA from 1 species